CUUUUGAUGGCGACCGGCGCACGGGUGAGUAACACGUAUCCAACCUGCCUCAUACUCGGGGAUAGCCUUUCGAAAGAAAGAUUAAUACCCGAUGUCAUAGUCCUACCGCAUGAUGGGAUUAUUAAAGAAUUUCGGUAUGGGAUGGGGAUGCGUUCCAUUAGUUAGUUGCGGGGUAACGGCCCACCAAGACAACGAUGGAUAGGGGUUCUGAGAGGAAGGUCCCCCACAUUGGAACUGAGACACGGUCCAAACUCCUACGGAAGGCAGCAG
rnacentral:rRNA from 1 species